AGCCGGUCCCCUCGGCGACGAAACACUGUGAACCCGGUCAGGUCCGGAAGGAAGCAGCCGCAGCAGCGCGUUCGGGUGCCGGGGUGUGGCUGGUUUUC
rnacentral:SRP_RNA from 1 species